AAGGCUCUUCUUUCCUUGCAG
rnacentral:miRNA from 1 species